rnacentral:rRNA from 1 species
GCACAAGCGGUGGAUGAUGUGGUUUAAUUCGAUGCAACGCGAAAACCUUACCCACCUUUGACAUGGCAGGAAUCCUAAAGAGAUUUGGGAGUGCUCGAAAGAGAACCUGCACACAGGUGCUGCAUGGCUGUCGUCAGCUCGUGUCGUGAGAUGUUGGGUUAAGUCCCGCAACGAGCGCAACCCUCGCCAUUAGUUGCUACGAAAGGGCACUCUAAUGGGACUGCCGGUGACAAACCGGAGGAAGGUGGGGAUGACGUCAAGUCCUCAUGGCCCUUAUAGGUGGGGCUACACACGUCAUACAAUGGCCGGUACAGAGGGUAGCCAACCCGCGAGGGGGAGCCAAUCCCACAAAGCCGGUCGUAGUCCGGAUCGCAGUCUGCAACUCGACUGCGUGAAGUCGGAAUCGCUAGUAAUCGCGGAUCAGCAUGUCGCGGUGAAUACGUUCCCGGGUCUU